CCCUCUCUGCUCGAACCCUCGUCCUCAUGGUGGGCACUGGUCAGAUCUCAGGGAAGACCGGGCUCAAACUUGCUGCAGAGGAGUACUGCCCUGUACUAGAAUAUCAUGAUGGCCAUGGCAAAGCAGUUCCUGUAGGCGUUGCUGCUCCUGUUGUCCAACCCCUUCCUGGCCUUUCCAGGUUGGGUUCCCGUGAGCGGCGUCAUCAGCUUAGGCACCAACCUCGUCUCCUCAAGGUUCUUGUCCCUUGUAUGUUCUCUCUCCCCCUCUCUAUUUGCACGGUGCUGAUUUCAACCACAAAUGAUUUAACCUUUUGUGUUUAUUAUGUGUGGAUUUCGUUUAAUGGAUUGACCCCCCAUCUCUACAGGAUGAACAAACCUAGCAUAUCGUUACUGAAUUUGGAGUUAUACACAUCAACAAGAGGAGGGAAAGAGACGGGCUUACAGUGGUAUGAAAAAAAAGUUUCCACCAUCGGUUGCAAAGGUGAGGCCAGAUAACAAGAGAUUAAUUAUGUUCUCAUCUCCAAUAUGUUUAGUGGUUACAACAUGCUACUGUUCACUUUUUUCUCACCUCUUUAUACUGCACUACUAUGCACUGAAGUUGUUUGCUAAUUUACACAUUGAAUUGUUCUGGUUGAUAUGCUAUUUAUUUGUUUCUUAACCCAAAUCCUUUUUCUAGUUGUAAAGGUUGUUGUUGCUAUAGCCUCAUGGAAAAAGAUUGUUUUUGGGUAAGCCAACCCAAUAUUUCUGGUCGUUGAUGCAUUUUGAUAAGUUUGAUGGUCCAGUCCCCAGUGAGGAAGAAAUCUUAGUCGACGACGCUGGCAGUGGCACUAGCUCCAGUGCCCCUGCUCUUGCAGCAUUCGAGCAUAUUUUUAUCCGCAGCUUGAAAGGGGAGGAUGAAGGAAUUUUGCAGCUACUAUGGUAUUCUGCAUACAUCCAGAUUCUGAACUUCUAUCAAAGAUGCAUGGCUAUUGUAUCCUCAAGACAAUAUAAAAGCUUUUGCAAUGAUAUUUGUUUUUGCAGUUUCCUAAACUGAAUAAUCUUUAGAAUGCACGAAAGUCUUUUCAUAUUGAAUUGUAAUUCCAUUGAAACUUUCUCCUCCAGCCAUACACCAUUAGAAGAUAAAGACAGUAAGCUUGGUUGCAGCAUCCAAAACUCAUUCAGUUAUCCGAAGUAAAGUAUAUUCAUAUUCAGCAAGUAAACUAGCAAGCUCUCUUCUCUUUCUUACAUAUUUUAUAUUUACAAUCACAUGGAGGUGCUCGGUUUCCCUGCCUUUCUUCCUGGUUCCGUAUUGAGAUUUGUAUGCAACUAUUUCAUCUUCCAUUAUGAACAUUAUCUUAUUUCAGAUUCAGCCAACAUGCAUGUAAAUACUAUGGCCAAUUGCAUUGUCUUCUAGAAUUAAUUAUGCACCAUGUCAUACAAACAUAUGACAGAUUUUUAGUCACAGACCAUUUUGAUAAGCAUUAUGACUUUAAAUUUACAAGUGUGAGCGACCUCAUCCGAACAUAUUGCCAUCCAUUCGACAGAUUUGUACUCUCUUUGUUGUUUGGCACAACAAAAUUGUCAGUCUCCAAAAUUCAUAUACUUGUAUUUAUACUGACGUUUUGUAUGCUCAUCUUAGAUGCCAUCACACAAUUACAUCUUAUAAUUAUGAUUUCUUUUAGAAUUAAAUGGAACUACAUACUGAUUUCAACUUCUAAGUGACAUGUUUAUAUGCCUAUUUGACAAAUUCCCCUUCAAUCUAAAUGAAUUAUAGGGGAGUUUACAGGAAAUGGGGAUCAUGCACAUCUUUUUCUUGGGAUCUUUAUGUUGUGCACUGAAGUCAUGUUGUGAAGUAUCACUUUGGAAUUAGCUCAUCCAAUUACUCGAUAUAUUUCACAAUGGGGAUUCAGAAUGUUAGUACCCCUGUCCCAAAAUAAGUGUCUCCACUUUAGUACAACUUGUAUAAAGUUAGUACUAAGUUAGUACAAAGUUGAGACACUUAUUUUAGGACGGGGGAGUACUUAGUAUAUUUAAUGUUCUUCUUUUACAACCUAUCGGAGAUUGAAUGGAUGAAACACUAUUAUUGUCUUUAUGCAGCAAUGUGUCCAUGAUAGUUUUCACUUUUUAAAAGAUUCUACUUCCCCGUAUACUUAUGUCUCUUAUGUUAUCCUCUUGUGUUUUAUCUCUAAUUUAUCUUCCUGGUUACACCAGCUCCUUGUGUCUUCGCUCCCCCCUUGUGUGUUUAUGAUGGCAGCUCCGCAUCAUGGUGCGAGGCACCGGUGGCUGCAGUAGGUGUAGAUGACGAGGAAGAGCCAGCUUUGUGGCCUUGCUGCACCCACGUCAGCUUUUCAUUACUCCAUAUACGGACAUUAGGUUGAUGUUGUUGCAUAUGCAAAUAAUUGGUUUGUUAUCCAUAGUUCUUCUACUUCAGAUUUGAUGCUAGGUGCCUUAGAGCUUAUACUAGAUGAUACAAAGGGGUUACCUAGCUUUCUUUCCGUGGGCAUACGUAUCUUGUGCCUUAGAGCUUAUAUAGCAUAUUUUGUGCCCCAUAAUAUUUUACAGAAUUCUUUGCUGAAAGUUUGAAUAAAAAUGUCGUAAGAAUCUGGAUAAAAGAAAGUGGAAUGAAUAUAUAUGUAUAUUCCAUGGGCAGGAUAUCUAACGGGAACCAUUUAAAUUAUGAUGGUCGUAUUCUAUAACUACAAUUAAGGAGUAUUUUAGCACAUGUUGCUUAUAAAAUUCUUAUCUAAUUAUACUUAGAAUUUCUUUUGGCAGCUCCUUUUUGUUUAGUUGUUUCGUAAGCACACAAAUAGUGCAUUCUUGACAACCUCUUUCUCCCAUGCAGUGAACUGGGGAGGCAUCACAUAAAUUACAAAUAUUUUCAUUUUUCCUUGAUUUAUAGAAGAAUAGAAUGUUGCACGUUGCUUCUAUGGUGUAUCACCCAAUGUAUAGCUUCCUUGAUUUUAUUUUGUUUCAGCUAGUGGCAUGGUAUUCUGCCAUGUACCACUGUUUUUAUUUAUAGUUUGCAUGUCCAUUGAAAAGACUAAAUCAUUUACUCUGUUUCUCUUGGUCCAGUGAAAGACCAAAUCCAUGUGUAGCUGUUCUGGCUUUGUGGUGUGCAUCAUCUAGCUGAAAUAAUGAAAUGAUGUGAGAUUAUGUUAGAGCUUGCUGGUGUGAUGCUUGUCAAUCGUGCUAUGCCGUUGUCUGCUGAAUUCUGGUUGUACAUCGAUGCAAAUGAACAUGGACACAACUUAUUCUAUACAUUUUAUUAAAAAUUCAAACCGCUGAACAUGAUCACUUCCAUAUCUCUGAAAUUUUAUGCUUUUGGUUUCCAAUGGUAUUUGGUUUCUGUACACUGCAAGCCCCACGAUGCUAAUUGAAAUAUCCUUUAUCAUGUUGCAGAUGCUUAGCAAAUUCUUUUGCUGCUACCUGAUCAUAAUCAUCUAAUUUUUUACUCCUUUCAUUUCUGACCAUAAUCAUCUAAUUUUUUACUCCUUUCAUUUCUAUAAGAAUGGCUGGAAGAGAGUUAUCCUGCAUGGGCACAUAGACCAGGAUACAUUGUACAUUGUAUCUCAGGAUAUAGCAACAUGAGGUGAGGUUUACGGGAAACACAAAAGAGGGAGCUAAAGGUACGCAUCCUUCUAUUUUUUUGGAAGGGUACCCCUUUUCUCGUCAGUGAUAAUGAAUUCUCUUCAGCUGCUUUGGCAUGAAAUCGUAUUCAAGGCAGCUUAGAGAAAAUAUCAUGUUCUCUAAUUGUCGUGUAUAAUAUUAACUGGGGAUUUUGACUUGCAGAUGUUCAAGUUGGAGGAUGUUAUCCAAUGAGAUGAAGAAUGAAGGUUUUGAUGUCAAGUAUGAGAAUGAUGCAAGGAUCUGCAUCUUGGUGGAAGGAUGUGAGGAUGGGGCUGUAGUUUCCCACUAGAAGGCAGGCAAAUGAUGUGCCUUGAGACAAAUUGCCGAAAACAAAGCGAGGAAUUUAAUUAGUUACAUUAGUUUAUAGGAAACUUGGAUGGUCAUUAGUUCAUAAUAGAUGAACUAUUUAUAUGUAAAAAUUAAUGCAUCUGUGUUGUUUAUAUGUGAAUUGUUUGGUUCUGGUUCAAUAUUGUUGGAAGACAUGCACUUCACUAUUAUGAGUUAGGCAACUUGAUUAAUAUUCUGUUGGUAAUGUGAAA
rnacentral:lncRNA from 1 species